rnacentral:lncRNA from 12 species
AGAGGGGUUUUAACGCAAUUGUCUCAAACUUGGCAAAGAAAUCAUUAAUCAUUUGAUGUUAAAUUUAUACAGAUUGUUGAGUAAAUGAGAGACACCAGGCCCACACGGUGGUGAAUCAAAAGGGAAAAAGAGAGAGAGAAGGCGUAGGAAAGACAGAGAAGGCAAAACAUUCUCUUCGCAGGCCACUCAAAAAGCAACUCCAGUAGUCCUGGCUAUUUCAAGCCUCGGUCCUUGGACUCCUGUCUACCUAAAUGGCAAGUAGUUUUAAGAACUUAAAAAAGCUUGCCGGGCCCAAAGAUAGAACUUACUCUGGUAUCAAGCAGCUUUUAAUAGAUGUCAACUCAGGGGAGAUUAUGAGCAUUGCAUAACGUCAGAGUUUAGGGUAUCCACUUGGUUGUCAUUUGAUGAGUUGCCAGGCUUCCCUGUCAUCACUGGGCAGCACCGAGCACAGUCCAGAUGCGGAACGGUAUACAGGGAAAAUGGUGGUUCUGCUUUCAUGGGGUUUCAUGAGUGUGACUUUACAAUUUUCAAUCCAUGUGGUUCCCAGGUGAAAUGGUUUCUCUCCUGCCUCCUCACACGGCCAUACUAAUCCAGGUUUGGAGACACCGGGUUCUGCUCUCUCCUGAUGUUAGCCUAAAUCGUGGAGCGAGGGAAAGCCAGCAACAGCAGGGUAACAAUUGUCACAAAAUUACCAUACUUGUGUUGGACAUAAUUUGUUAGAAGUUGAUGGCCUGAAAGCGCACAUCUAUCCUGAGACCCGAGAAGAAGGCGCCAUAGAGCAAAUCAAGCUUUCUAUCUCUCUGGAAGGAGCAUGGAUAGCAAAUGGACUUUGUUGAGAACCAACUUUGUCAAUGAGCCAUAAUUUGUACAAUGCUGUCAACUGAUAUAUAGAAAUACCUUUGUGUUGAUCUGGAGUCAAUCACUUAACCUCCAGAAACUCCACUCUACCGUGAAGAAAUUGCCUAUGUGGGCGAUGAAACUGACAUCUCCAGCGUGUCUUCAAUACACUGGCGAUUUCCCCAGGUGUGUCAUCUGGUCCUAAUGACAUGCAGGCUAGAUAUCAUUAUCCCUGUUUCACAGACUCAGGAGCCUAGGAGAGUUUAAAUAACCUGUCCAAACUCCCGCAGCUGAUGAGUGGCUUAACUGGGACUCAA